rnacentral:rRNA from 1 species
UACGGAGGGUGCGAGCGUUGUCCGGAAUCAUUGGGCGUAAAGGGCGCGUAGGUGGCUUCUUAAGCGUGCGGUGAAAGCCUGGGGCUCAACCCCGGGUCGGCCGUGCGAACUGGGGGGCUGGAGCACUGUAGAGGCAGGCGGAAUUCCGGGUGUAGCGGUGGAAUGCGUAGAGAUCCGGAAGAACACCGGUGGCGAAGGCGGCCUGCUGGGCAGUUGCUGACACUGAGAGACGAAAGCUAGGGGAGCGAAUGGG